GUCCUGGAGCCAGAGUGAAAGUGGAAGAAACAGGAAACAAGAAGAUAUGUCCCUCUAUCAGGUGUGUUGCACAUGCCCAUUCCACAUGGCUCGAGCUGCCCAAUGGGUACUGCUGAAGGAAAAGUUUUCGAUGGCCGUGGGCUGGGCACACAGACACCAAGAGUGGAAUGUGUAAUCACUUGAACAAGAAGCAUUGGAUUAGGAACAGCCAAGCUUAUUACAGGAAUCUCAAUGCAAAGUAGUUUGAUGUCCAGGCUGGCAACAUGGGAAAGCCACAUCCAG